UACGUAGGGGGCAAGCGUUGUCCGGAUUUAUUGGGCGUAAAGAGCGUGUAGGCGGCCUGACAAGUCUGCUGUGAAAACUCGAGGCUCAACCUCGAGACGUCGGCGGAAACCAUCUGGCUAGAGUCCGGAAGAGGAGAGUGGAAUUCCUGGUGUAGCGGUGAAAUGCGCAGAUAUCAGGAAGAACACCCGUGGCGAAGGCGGCUCUCUGGGACGGUACUGACGCUGAGACGCGAAAGCGUGGGGAGCGAACAGG
rnacentral:rRNA from 1 species